ACAAAGAAUCGAAACAAAUUAUAAUGUUUUCUGAUAAUUACUUCAUGGGUUAUUACUCAUAAUCAGAUUUUCAUGUGUUGUAAAUGUUCUCAUUACUGACAAACAAAAGAUAAAAAAAUAUGCGACAACACUUUUUGACUGCCUGGACGACUUAGCUGCUGUGGGCGUAUGUUUCGUUGCCUGGCAAAAUAUCUUCCGAUUUUGAUGAAACUUAAAAUAAUUGUUUAUAUCCCAAAGAUCUGGCUUAUUUUCAAUAUUUGCGCUUAUCCGACCCUAACUUUCUGGAUUAUGGCCCCUGAUUGUACGAAAAAUCACUUUUGUUUAGCUCAUGGCAGAAUGUGAGCGUAUCUUGCAUGGCAACCACUUGUUUUGAAAAAAAAUGCCGAAUUAUAAACUAUAAACCACCUGCCUGGCAUGGGGCCACGGCCCGUCCUCGGUCUGCUGAGGCUCUAGUCACCGUCAGGGUAUCCGGUCCCCCUUCCGUUUGAAUCCAGUACCGCUGAAAUACACGUCCACAUUCCUGCUUUGAUUGAUAUGGUAUUUUUGUAAAACAGGCCAACAGUGAGGCUGAUGUCCCCGCCGCAAUCCAAAAAUAAAUAGAUGACACAUAUUAAUAAAUAGCACAUUUAUUUUUAUCAACUAUACAUCACUCUCUAUCAGAUAGAAUCAAAGUUAUCUUGUCCCAAAGCAUCUCAGACGAGACAUUCACCUAAUGAACAUCUACAUCAAGUUUUAACAUUCUACCUCAAUUAAAAGCAGAGUUGUUAUGUUCCAAAGUCUUGACCAAUUAAAUUGCUUAUCGCUCCAAAGCCUAAGCAGAAAAUUCUCAUCAUGGAACUUAAUGAUAUAAUGAAUCCAUACUCGGAGUUUCAUUAUUGUGUUCCAAAGCAUCAACAAAUCAGAUUGCUUAUCUCUGCUUACCGUAAGCAAACAAUGUUUAUCAUCGAACUUCAUCAAGGCAUUCACCUAAUGAACGCCCACACCAAGUUUGAAAAUUCUACCUCAAUUAGAAGGACAGUUAUUGUGUUCCAAUGUCCCGACCAAUCAAAUUAUUGAUGUGAUAAAACUCUACACAAAGUGUACACACUCUCACUUAAUUACUUUGGGACUAAAUAAUGCUUAAAUUUUAUUUCCAUAUUCUUGGUCUCAUUGCCCAGGGCUUGAACUUGUAGCAAGGGAGGGGGGUGGAUGGCUGAAUGGUUAGCGUGCGCGCGCUGUAUCACAAAGUCUGUCAUUGAGUCGACUGGCGUGGUUUCGAAUCCUCGGUUGUACGUGGCAAGGAGUAGGGUCGCCUGUCCAACCUCGUAGGUUUUCUCCGGGGCCUCCGGUUUCCUCCCACUGCUAAAGACCCCUACGCGCAAGCGAAUUAUGUAAAUAGAAUUAAACCAUAUGUUAGUCCCGAAAUUACCUAGUUUGUGUCGAGUGGACGUUAAACCCCAUUUCUCUCUCUCUCUCUCUCUGUAGCAAGGGAAGGGAAUACGUCCGUUGGUUGAGCGCGGUGGACUCGUAAUCGUACCACUUGUUUGGCAUUUGGUUACUUCCAAAUCCCUCGGUUAUAAUAAGUUAGGGUCGGGUUCAUUUCAUAGUAUUAAAUAUUAUUCAACUUGUAAGCAAAACGGAUAAAAUAUAUAAACUCUUAACACUUAAAUAAGAUACAUUAGUUAAGAGUUUUAUAAAGAGUUGGCCAUUCUUUCUAUAAUAAUUCAAAAAUAGAUGAUAAAAAAAGAAAAUGUUGAAAAUUUCAGUCAAAUUACUUUGUUCUGAAUGGAAUUAUCACUGUUAGAAGUUUGGACUAAAAAUAGGCAUCACGUGUAUCUUCACCGUCUAUGAGAAUUGGCGAUCGUUUGAUUGACAAACAAUAACUCCACCCACAUAUUCUCGAUUAUCAAGUAACAUACUCAAUGGCUAUAGAAGCCUCGCUUGGCAGGCUUUUCAUCACCAGUUUCCGGUUGUGACAUCAGCGAGUAACGGUGAACGUUAGCUUGGCCCGCCAUUUAUUGAUUUAAUUUUAAAUGGACGAGGCAUUUUAAAUCCAAACUGUAUCCAAGCCAUCCGUGGGUCUACAGGGUUGAUUUUAAGCUUGUCGUGUAAAUAAAGGUCUAAUUAAUAAUUUAUAUAACAUCUGAAGCCUCAAUAAAGACUUGCAAUAGGCAUAUUUAGCUCUUUCAUAAUGUAUGUUUAACUAAUUAUAUAGUAUGGGGAUUAGCUGUAUUUGAAUAUAGAUAAAAACAUAUUUAUGGGGAGUUUCCUAUAAGUUGAGUUAUAGUAAAAUUAUAGCGUCAUACAUAAUGAGAACAUUAAAAUGGUAUAUGCAUUAGCUGUGUCUGUAAAAGGUUUUAGGUAGGGGUGUUUUGGACAGAUACACAUUGCAGUUAGUGUCUGAGAUGUGGGAUAUAUAAAUUUGUGUAUGAAACAUUAGUUGCAGUGCUAAUAUACGAAAGUGAAAUAGUAUAAGAAGAUGCCUAUGGUUGCAGCAACUUAUAGUGAUAGUAGCACAGUAAAUAUUUUCAUAUUAGGGGAGAAAGUGAAAAAUAAAACUUCAAACAUGACGAAAACUUGCCUUAUGGAGAGUAAUAAAGCAGUGAAGACUGAAGCUUUAGAGAGUAAACAUUAUUUUUGUUUUCUUUUUGUAUAGAAUUGCUAUAUAAGAUCUUUUGAAAUAUUGGAGAAUAGAGGGUGUGUCCGGUUAGAGUCUAACAGGUAUAGACAAGGAGGGACAUUGAUAGAGAGUUGUCCAGACUUUAGAGAAGUCAAUAUGAGGGUAACCGUAGUGGGAUGGCUUACCAACAGAAAGGAUUUCAGCUUUAUCAUGAUUUAACUCGAGAAGAGUGCUGUAUGAAGAUAGUCUAGAUAUUAUUGCAGAACAGUCAUCUGCGUGUUGAAAAAGGUUAAUCUCUGAUGGGUAGUUGGGGAUUCUGAUGCCUUUUAUGAGGAUGUUUCUGUUUAUGUAUGAGGCAAGGGGGUUGAUACAUAAGGAAUAAAGGAUCAUGGAUAAUGGACAUCCUUGACGAAUCGAUCGGUUAAUUUUAAUAUUUGGGGUAAAGGAUCCAUUUACUUGGACUUUACUAAUCAAGUUUUUAAACAACAUUGUAACCCAGUUUAGGAUGUAAUUUGGGAAAUUUAUAUGUUUUAGUAGAUUCUUAAUAUAGUUGUGUUCAAUGCGAUCCAGGGAUUUUUCUUGGUCAAAUGAUAGUAUAUAUUCACUGGACUCAUUUGUAUUUAUAUAAUGUAGGAUUGUAUCUAUUGAAUAUAGGUUAUCAAAAAUGCCUUUAUUUGGUCCGUCACGAGUCUGUGUAUUAGAGAUUAAUUUGAUUAUAACUGUAUUGAUUCUUGUGCUUAAAAUUUUUGUGAUGAUUUUAUAGUCGACACAUAACAGGCUUAUCGGUCUAUAGUUCUUAAGUCGUUCGUUCGUUUCUGGGGUUUUACGU